rnacentral:rRNA from 1 species
CCUACGGGUGGCUGCAGUAAGGAAUAUUGGUCAAUGGACGCAAGUCUGAACCAGCCAUGCCGCGUGAAGGAUUAAGGUCCUCUGGAUUGUAAACUUCUUUUAUCUGGGACGAAAAAAGGCGAUUCUUCGUCACUUGACGGUACCAGAUGAAUAAGCACCGGCUAACUCCGUGCCAGCAGCCGCGGUAAUACGGAGGGUGCAAGCGUUAUCCGGAUUCACUGGGUUUAAAGGGUGCGUAGGCGGGCAGGUAAGUCAGUGGUGAAAUCCUGGAGCUU